rnacentral:rRNA from 1 species
GACGAACGCUGGCGGCGUGCCUAAUACAUGCAAGUUGAGCGCUGAAGGUUGGUACUUGUACCGACUGGAUGAGCAGCGAACGGGUGAGUAACGCGUGGGGAAUCUGCCUUUGAGCGGGGGACAACAUUUGGAAACGAAUGCUAAUACCGCAUAAAAACUUUAAACACAAGUUUUAAGUUUGAAAGAUGCAAUUGCAUCACUCAAAGAUGAUCCCGCGUUGUAUUAGCUAGUUGGUGAGGUAAAGGCUCACCAAGGCGAUGAUACAUAGCCGACCUGAGAGGGUGAUCGGCCACAUUGGGACUGAGACACGGCCCAAACUCCUAUGGGAGGCAGCAGUAGGGAAUCUUCGGCAAUGGACGAAAGUCUGACCGAGCAACGCCGCGUGAGUGAAGAAGGUUUUCGGAUCGUAAAACUCUGUUGGUAGAGAAGAACGUUGGUGAGAGUGGAAAGCUCAUCAAGUGACGGUAACUACCCAGAAAGGGACGGCUAACUACGUG